AGUGAACGCUGGCGGUAGGCCUAACACAUGCAAGUCGAACGGCAGCACAGUAAGAGCUUGCUCUUACGGGUGGCGAGUGGCGGACGGGUGAGGAAUACAUCGGAAUCUACUUUUUCGUGGGGGAUAACGUAGGGAAACUUACGCUAAUAUCGCAUACGACCUACGGGUGAAAGCAGGGGAUCUUCGGACCUUGCGCGAUUGAAUGAGCCGAUGUCGGAUUAGCUAGUUGGCGGGGUAAAGGCCCACCAAGGCGACGAUCCGUAGCUGGUCUGAGAGGAUGAUCAGCCACACUGGAACUGAGACACGGUCCAGACUCCUACGGGAGGCAGCAGUGGGGAAUAUUGGACAAUGGGCGCAAGCCUGAUCCAGCCAUACCGCGUGGGUGAAGAAGGCCUUCGGGUCGUAAAGCCCUUUUGUUGGGAAAGAAAAGCAGCAGGUUAAUACCCCGCUGUUCUGACGGUACCCAAAGAAUAAGCACCGGCUAACUUCGUG
rnacentral:rRNA from 1 species